rnacentral:rRNA from 1 species
GAUGAACGCUGGCGGCGUGCCUAACACAUGCAAGUCGAGCGAACAGACGAGGAGCUUGCCCCUCUGACGUUAGCGGCGGACAGGUGAGUAACACGUGGAUAACCCAUCUAUAAGACUGGGAUAAAUCCGGGAAACAGGAGCUAUAACCGCGUAAACUAUUGAAUCGCAUGGUCGAAUAGAGAAAGACGGUUUUGCUGUCAUGUAUGGAUGGAUCGGAGCCGCUUUAGCUAGUUGGUAAGGUAAUGGCUUACCAAGGCAACGAUGGGUGGCCGACCUAGGAGGGUGACCGGCACCACUGGACUUGGAACACGGUCCAGCUUCCUACGGGAGGAGGAAUGAGGGAAUCUUCCGCAUUGAGGGAAAGCCUGCGGGGCCAACGCCGCGUGAGUGAUGCAGGUCUUGGGAUCGUAAAACUCUGUUAUUAGGGAAGAACGAAUGUGUAAGUAACGAUGCACGUCUUGACGGUACCUGAACAGAAAGCCACGGCUAACUACGUG